ACUACGGGUGGCAGCAGUGAGGAAUAUUGGUCAAUGGGCGCGAGCCUGAACCAGCCAAGUAGCGUGAAGGAUGACUGCCCUACGGGUUGUAAACUUCUUUUAUAAAAGAAUAAAGUGAGGCACGUGUGUCUCUUUGUAAGUACUUUAUGAAUAAGGAUCGGCUAACUCCGUGCCAGCAGCCGCGGUAAUACGGGGGAUCCGAGCGUUAUCCGGAUUUAUUGGGUUUAAAGGGAGCGUAGAUGGGUUGUUAAGUUAGUUGUGAAAGUUUGCGGAUCAACCGGAAAAUUGCAAUUGAUACUGGCAGCCUUGAGUACAGUUGAGGUAGGCGGAAUUCGUGGUGUAGCGGUGAAAUGCUUAGAUAUCACGAAGAACUCCGAUUGCGAAGGCAGCCUACCAAUCUGCCACUGACAUUGAUGCUCGAAAGUGUGGGUAUCAAACAGGAUUAGAUACCCCAGUAGUC
rnacentral:rRNA from 1 species